rnacentral:lncRNA from 1 species
AUAAUCUACGUGCCAAUUAUAACAUAGGGAACUUUAAUUGAUUCAACUCCCCCGUUCCCUAAAUCUUUUCUUUUCUUUCUUCUUUUUUUUUUAAUUAAUUAACUCACCAUUUAUGUGUAUUAGGGACUCCUUUGCAUGAGUACAAGGUCCCUUUUAGCUUGAUCUUGGCUUAAUACUCUAUUAUAGCAUGAAAUCCCUUAUUUUCCACCCGGAUGAACAGUAAUCCGGACUGACAGUGGGUUACUUCAUCCCGAUUUUGAUCCACUCUUAGGACUCCAAAUUUGAUGAAAUUUUUACCUAACAUUCUACACUCAUAGAGGAUUCCAAAGAGAUACAUGCAUCAUCAUUGGAGGCCGUUUGACCCCCUAAAUAAUUCACCGAAGUUGGAACUUCGACACAGUUUUUCCGUAAUGCCGGAAAAAUUUGUCGAAAUCCGAUUGUUCCUCUUUUAACCACCUCUACAACCCUUAUCUGACCCCUUUAGACUACAUCCACCCUUUGUAUAGCCUAAUAUCAUCAAAAGACUAGAUAGGGAUGGAUAUUUACCUUUUUCUUUUUGGAAAUCGAGGUCCUUGCGUAGAGGAGAAGGAGAUCUACACUUUUCCCUUCAGUUGGCA